rnacentral:lncRNA from 1 species
GCCAAAUGACUAUCUUGAUUUCUUCCAAGGAAAAAUGCUUCUCAAGCAAAGACCUAACAUCGUCAUUCAACCUUUGAAAAAAAAGACCCCCUCAAAGAAGGUCUUCUAUAAAAUAAUUCUUGAAAUCUAGUCUCAACGUGACUCUUAAUCUCUCUCUUCACCUCAUCCACCUUAUCCACCCAACCACUAUUCGAAUCAAUCCCCAAAAUACUAUUCCUCUGAAAUCUAUGAUUCAUUGCUUUAUGGAAGAAUUUGGAAUUAGAAUCCCCUUUUCCAAUCCACUUUUGUCUAGUCUAUUGUCUCAACAUACUCUCCUUAAGAAAACUCGAAUGCCACACUUCGUUAGAAGCUAAAGACCUCUUAGAAGCCAUAACUUCAACAUCUAGACCACCAACAUUAGCAACUUCAAAGUCCAAAGCAUUCAACUCCUU